UACGUAGGGGGCUAGCGUUGUCCGGAAUCAUUGGGCGUAAAGAGCGUGUAGGCGGCCCGGUAAGUCCGCUGUGAAAGUCGGGGGCUCAACCCUCGAAUGCCGGUGGAUACUGUCGGGCUAGAGUGCGGAAGAGGCGAGUGGAAUUCCUGGUGUAGCGGUGAAAUGCGCAGAUAUCAGGAGGAACACCAAUUGCGAAGGCAGCUCGCUGGGACGUUACUGACGCUGAGGAGCGAAAGCAUGGGGAGCGAACAGG
rnacentral:rRNA from 1 species